rnacentral:rRNA from 1 species
GACGAACGCUGGCGGCGUGCCUAAUACAUGCAAGUCGAACGCUGAAGAGAGGAGCUUGCUCUUCUUGGACGAGUUGCGAACGGGUGAGUAACGCGUAGGUAACCUGCCUGGUAGCGGGGGAUAACUAUUGGAAACGAUAGCUGAUACCGCAUAAAAUGGAUUAUCGCAUGAUAAUCCAUUGAAAGGUGCAAAUGCAUCACUACCAGAUGGACCUGCGUUGUAUUAGCUAGUUGGUGGGGUAACGGCUCACCAAGGCGACGAUACAUAGCCGACCUGAGAGGGUGAUCGGCCACACUGGGGCUGAGACACGGCCCAGACUCCUACGGGAGGCAGCAGUAGGGAAUCUUCGGCAAUGGACGGAAGUCUGACCGAGCAACGCCGCGGGAGUGAAGAAGGUUUUCGGAUCGUAAAGCUCUGUUGUAAGAGAAGAACGAGUGUGAGAGUGGAAAGUUCACACUGUGACGGUAUCUUACCAGAAAGGGACGGCUAACUACGUG